AGUGAACGCUGGCGGUAGGCCUAACUCAUGCAAGUCGAACGGCAGCACAGUAAGAGCUUGCUCUUACGGGUGGCGAGUGGCGGACGGGUGAGGAAUACAUCGGAAUCUACUUUUUCGUGGGGGAUAACGUAGGGAAACUUACGCUAAUACCGCAUACGACCUACGGGUGAGAGCAGGGGAUCUUCGGACCUUGCGCGAUUGAAUGAGCCGAUGUCGGAUUAGCUAGUUGGCGGGGUAAAGGCCCACCAAGGCGACGAUCCGUAGCUGGUCUGAGAGGAUGAUCAGCCACACUGGAACUGAGACACGGUCCAGACUCCUACGGGAGGCAGCAGUGGGGAAUAUUGGACAAUGGGCGCAAGCCUGAUCCAGCCAUACCGCGUGGGUGAAGAAGGCCUUCGGGUUGUAAAGCCCUUUUGUUGGGAAAGAAAAGCAGCAGGUUAAUACCCCGCUGUUCUGACGGUACCCAAAGAAUAAGCACCGGCUAACUUCGUG
rnacentral:rRNA from 1 species